rnacentral:rRNA from 1 species
UUUCGCAAUGCCCGAAAGGGUGACGAAGCGACGCCGCGUGCGGGAAGAAGGCCUUCGGGUUGUAAACCGCUGUCGGGAGUUAAGAAAUGUAAGGAUGUUAAUAGCAUCUUUGCUUGACUAAGGCUCCGGAGGAAGCCACGGCUAACUCUGUGCCAGCAGCCGCGGUAAUACAGAGGCGGCAAGCGUUGUUCGGAAUUAUUGGGCGUAAAGAGCACGUAGGCGGCUAUGUAAGUCGGUUGUGAAAGCCUUCCGCUCAACGGGAGAACAGCAUCCGAUACUGCAUGGCUUGAGUGCGGGAGGGGAGAGUGGAACUUCUGGUGGAGCGGUGAAAUGCGUAGAUAUCAGAAGGAACGUCGGCGGCGAAAGCGGCUCUCUGGCCCAUAACUGACGCUGAGUGUGCGAAAGCUAGGGGAGCAAACGGGAUUAGAUACCCCGGUAGUCCUAGCCGUAAACGAUGGGCACUAAGUAGAGGGGUUUU